rnacentral:rRNA from 1 species
UACGUAGGAGACGAGCGUUGUCCGGAGUUACUGGGCGUAAAGGGCGCGUAGGCGGCCUCGCAAGUCCCGUGUGAAAUCCCUCGGCUCAACUGAGGAAUGGCACGGGAAACUGCGGGGCUUGAGUUCGGGAGAGGGAAGCGGAAUUCCGGGUGUAGCGGUGAAAUGCGUAGAUAUCCGGAGGAACACCGGUGGCGAAGGCGGCUUCCUGGACCGAUACUGACGCUGAGGCGCGAAAGCUAGGGGAGCAAACGGG